GUGAGUAGUUCAGAGUUUGAUCCUGGCUCAGGAUGAACGCUGGCGGCGUGCUUAACACAUUCAAGUCGAACGGUGAUUACCCUUCGGGGUAUGAUCAGUGGCGGACGGGUGAGUAACGCGUGAGCAAUCUGCCUAUGUGAGGGGGAUAACGUUUGGAAACGAACGCUAAUACCGCAUGAAGCAUUUUGGUUGCAUGACUGAAAUGCCAAAGAGAUUAUCGCACAUAGAUGAGCUCACGUCCCAUUAGAUAGUUGGUGAGGUAACGGCCCACCAAGUCGACGAUGGGUAGCCGGACUGAGAGGUUGAACGGCCACAUUGGAACUGAGAAACGGUCCAG
rnacentral:rRNA from 1 species